rnacentral:rRNA from 1 species
CCUACGGGAGGCAGCAGUGAGGAAUAUUGGUCAAUGGGCUUACGCCUGAACCAGCCAAGUCGCGUGAGGGAAGACUGCCCUAUGGGUUGUAAACCUCUUUUGUCAGGGAGCAAUUGGCGCUACGUGUAGCGUUAUCGAGAGUACCUGAAGAAAAAGCAUCGGCAAACUCCGUGCCAGCAGCCGCGGUAAUACGGAGGAUGCGAGCGUUAUCCGGAUUUAUUGGGUUUAAAGGGUGCGUAGGCGGAAUGCCAAGUCAGCGGUAAAAUCGCGGGGCUCAACCUCGCUCCGCCGUUGAAACUGGCGUUCUUGAGUGGGCGAGAGGUAUGCAGAAUGCGUGGUGUAGCGGUGAAAUGCAUAGAGAUCACGCAGAACUCCGAUUGCGAAGGCAGCAUACCGGCGCCCAACUGACGCUGAAGCGCGAAAGCGUGGGUAGCGAACAGGAUUAGAUACCCGUGUAGUC